rnacentral:rRNA from 1 species
GCCUUGGGUAGCCGCAAAUAGGCUGAGAUCCAGGGAUUUCCGAAUGAGGAAACUCACAUGGGUAACCCCAUGUAUCAUGCACUGAAUACAUAGGUGUAUGAGGGUAAACCCGGGGAACUGAAACAUCGAAGUACCCGGAGGAAGAGAAAGAAAAAUCGAUUUCCUAAGUAGCGGCGAGCGAACGGGAAAGAGCCCAAACCAGAAACUUGUUUCUGGGGUUGUGGAUAGAUCAU